rnacentral:misc_RNA from 1 species
GAUGAAGAACGCAGCGAAAUGCGAUAAGUAAUGUGAAUUGCAGAAUUCAGUGAAUCAUCGAAUCUUUGAACGCACAUUGCGCCCUCUGGUAUUCCGGGGGCAUGCCUGUUCGAGCGUCAUUAUAACCACUCAAGCUCUCGCUUGGUAUUGGGGUUCGCGGUUUCGCGGCCCCUAAAAUCAGUGGCGGUGCCUGUCGGCUCUACGCGUAGUAAUACUUCUCGCGAUUGAGUUCGAUAGGUCUACUUGCCAGUAACCCCCAAUUUUUACAGGUUGACCUCGGAUCAGGUAGGGAUACCCGCUGAACUUAAGCAUAUCAAUAAGCGGAGGA